rnacentral:rRNA from 1 species
GAUGAACGCUGGCGGCGUGCCUAAUACAUGUAAGUCGAGCGAACAGACGAGGAGCUUGCUCCUCUGACGUUAGCGGCGGACGGGUGAGUAACACGUGGAUAACCUACCUAUAAGACUGGGAUAACUUCGGGAAACCGGAGCUAAUACCGGAUAAUAUAUUGAACCGCAGGGUUCAAUAGUGAAAGACGGCUUUGCUGUCACUUAUAGAUGGAUCCGCGCCGCAUUAGCUAGUUGGUAAGGUAACGGCUUACCAAGGCAACGAUGCGUAGCCGACCUGAGAGGGUGAUCGGCCACACUGGAACUGAGACACGGUCCAGACUCCUACGGGAGGCAGCAGUAGGGAAUCUUCCGCAAUGGGCGAAAGCUUGACGGAGCAACGCCGCGUGAGUGAUGAAGGUCUUCGGAUCGUAAAACUCUGUUAUUAGGGAAGAACAAAUGUGUAAGUAACUAUGCACGUCUUGACGGUACCUAAUCAGAAAGCCCCGGCUAACUACGUG